UAGGGAAUAUUGGGCAAUGGGCGAGAGCCUGACCCAGCCAUGCCGCGUGCCGGAUGAAGGCCUUCUGGGUUGUAAACGGCUUUUCUCAGGGAAGAAAAAGAGGAUGCGUCCUAAACUGACGGUACCUGAGGAAUAAGCACCGGCUAACUCCGUGCCAGCAGCCGCGGUAAUACGGAGGGUGCAAGCGUUGUCCGGAUUUAUUGGGUUUAAAGGGUGCGUAGGCGGCCCGUUAAGUCCGGGGUGAAAGCCUCUUGCUCAACAAGAGAACUGCCCUGGAUACUGGCGGGCUUGAGUCCAGACGAGGUUGGCGGAAUGGAAGAUGUAGCGGUGAAAUGCAUAGAUAUCUUCCAGAACCCCGAUUGCGUAGGCAGCUGACUAGGCUGGUACUGACGCUGAGGCACGAAAGCGUGGGGAGCGAACAGG
rnacentral:rRNA from 1 species